rnacentral:snRNA from 1 species
AUUUUUUACGAAAUAGCGUAAAG